rnacentral:rRNA from 1 species
GCACUUUGGAUAAGCCUGGGAAACUGGGUCUAAUACCGGAUAUACCCUGCUGGUCGCAUGGCCUGGUGGGGGAAAGCUUUUGCGGUGUGGGAUGGGCCCGCGGCCUAUCAGCUUGUUGGUGAGGUUACGGCUCACCAAGGCGACGACGGGUAGCCGGCCUGAGAGGGUGACCGGCCACACUGGGACUGAGAUACGGCCCAGACUCCUACGGGAGGCAGCAGUGGGGAAUAUUGCACAAUGGGCGCAAGCCUGAUGCAGCGACGCCGCGUGGGGGAUGACGGCCUUCGGGUUGUAAACCUCUUUCAGUGGGGACGAAGCGCAAGUGACGGUACCUACAGAAGAAGGACCGGCCAACUACGUGCCAGCAGCCGCGGUAAUWCRUAGGGUCCGAGCGUUGUCCGGAAUUACUGGGCGUAAAGAGCUCGUAGGUGGUUUGUCGCGUUGUUCGUGAAAACCGGGGGCUUAACCCUCGGCGUGCGGGCGAUACGGGCAGACUUGAGUACUGCAGGGGAGACUGGAAUUCCUGGUGUAGCGGUGGAAUGCGCAGAUAUCAGGAGGAACACCGGUGGCGAAGGCGGGUCUCUGGGCAGUAACUGACGCUGAGGAGCGAAAGCGUGGGGAGCGAACAGGAUUAGAUACCCUGGUAGUCCACGCCGUAAACGGUGGGUACUAGGUGUGGUUUCCG